GUCCACGCUGUAAACGAUGAUCACUAGAUAUGGGCAUUGCUUGGCAAAGUCCGUGUCGAAGCUAACGCGUUAAGUGAUCCGCCUGGGGAGUACGGUCGCAAGAUUAAAACUCAAAGAAAUUGACGGGGGUCCGCACAAGCGGUGGAACAUGUGGUUUAAUUCGACACUACGCGAGGAACCUUACCUAGGCUUGACAUGUAACUGCUACUGGUAGAAACACUGGGUUCCGUAGAAAUACGGACGGUUACACAGGUGCUGCAUGGCUGUCGU
rnacentral:rRNA from 1 species